AUUGAACGCUGGCGGCAGGCUUAACACAUGCAAGUCGAGCGGGGAAAGGUAGCUUGCUCCCUGACCUAGCGGCGGACGGGUGAGUAAUGCUUAGGAAUCUGCCUAUUAGUGGGGGACAACAUCUCGAAAGGGAUGCUAAUACCGCAUACGUCCUACGGGAGAAAGCAGGGGACCUUCGGGCCUUGCGCUAAUAGAUGAGCCUAAGUCGGAUUAGCUAGUUGGUGGGGUAAAGGCCUACCAAGGCGACGAUCUGUAGCGGGUCUGAGAGGAUGAUCCGCCACACUGGGACUGAGACACGGCCCAGACUCCUACGGGAGGCAGCAGUGGGGAAUAUUGGACAAUGGGGGGAAACCUGAUCCAGCCAUGCCGCGGGUGGGAAGAAGGCCUUUUGGUUGUAAAGCACUUUAAGCGAGGAGGAGGCUACCGAGAUUAAUACUCUUGGAUAGUGGACGUUACUCGCAGAAUAAGCACCGGCUAACUCUGUG
rnacentral:rRNA from 1 species